rnacentral:rRNA from 1 species
ACUGGUCGAGUGAAAUUGCGCGGAAAAUUACCGGGGCUAAGUUAUCAACCGAAAUUGCGGAUUUGUAAUUUAUUACAAGUGGUAGAGGAGCAUUCUAUUGUAGGAUGAAGUCAGAGCGUGAGCACUGGUGGACGAGAUAGAAGAGAGAAUGCUGGAAUAAGUAGCGAGAGCAGGGUGAGAAUCCCUGCCGUCGAAAGUCUAAGGUUUCCUGGGGAAGGUUCGUCCGCCCAGGGUUAGUCAGGACCUAAGGAGAGGCCGAAAGGCGUAUCUGAUGGAUAGCAGGUUGAUAUUCCUGCACUAUAUAAUACUUAAAAGAUGCAACUGACGCAGAAGUGGAAGGUGAGCAAGGAAAUGGAAAAACUUGUUCCGCAAGGGGGAGUGAAAAUAAAGUAACGAAGCACCAAGAAGCACGCUGACGAGAAAAGGUUGUAGAUCUUGUAUUAUAUACUUGUACCGCAAACCGACACAGGUAGAUGAGGAGAGGAUCCUAAGACGAUCGGGAGAAGCAUUGUUAAGGAACUCGGCAAAUUGACCCCGUAACUUUGGAAGAAGGGGUACUGGUGUAACAGCCAGUCGCAGAGAAUUGUCCCAAGCAACUGUUUAACAAAAACAUAGGUUUCUGCUAAAUCGAAAGAUGAAGUAUAGGAGCUGACGCCUGCCCAGUGCUGGAAGGUUAAGGGAACGUGUUAAUAGUAAUAUGAAGCACCGAACUGAAGCCCCAGUGAACGGCGGCCGUAACUAUAACGGUCCUAAGGUAGCGAAAUUCCUUGUCAGGUAAGUUCUGACCCGCACGAAAGGCGUAAUGAUUUGGGAGCUGUCUCGACAAUGUCCCCGGCGAAAUUGUAGUACUAGUGAAGAUGCUAGUUACCUGCGACAAGACAGAAAGACCCCAUGGAGCUUUACUGCAGUUUGAUACUGAGUCAGGCUAAUUUAUGUACAGGAUAGUUAGGAGACUAUGAGGCUUAAGCGCUAGCUUAAGAAGAGUCAACGUUGGGAUACUAACCUUAAAUUAGUUUGAAUCUAACUCGUGAUCGUAAUCCGGUCAGAGGACAAUGUCAGACGGGCAGUUUGACUGGGGCGGUCGCCUCCUAAAGAGUAACGGAGGCGUUCAAAGGUUCCCUCAGCGCGGACAGAAAUCGCGCAAUAGAGUGUAAAGGCAGAAGGGAGCUUAACUGGGAGACUUACAAGUCGAGCAGAUACGAAAGUAGGACUUAGUGAUCCGGUGGAUUAUGAAUGGAAAUGCCAUCGCUCAACGGACAAAAGUUACCCUGGGGAUAACAGGCUUAUCUCCCCCAAGAGUUCACAUCGACGGGGAGGUUUGGCACCUCGAUGUCGGCUCAUCGCAUCCUGGGGCUGAAGUCGGUCCCAAGGGUUGGGCUGUUCGCCCAUUAAAGCGGUACGCGAGCUGGGUUCAGAACGUCGUGAGACAGUUCGGUCCUUAUCUGUCGCAGGCGCAGGAUAUUUGAGGAGAUCUGCCCCUAGUACGAGAGGACCAGGGUGGACGAACAGAUGGUGCAACAGUUGUUCUACCAAGAGCAUAGCUGUGUAGCCAAGUUCGGAAUGGAUAAACGCUGAGAGCAUCUAAGUGUGAAGCCAACUCCAAGAUAAGAUAUCCCAUACCGUUAAGGUAGU